rnacentral:lncRNA from 1 species
UUAGAUGAGAAGAAAAAAAGUAUUUGGCCCCUCAAGUCCACAUGUGUUUACCAUUUGCCCCCUGAACUUCUUCCCUAGCUCGCAUGAGUGGACAUAUAGGAAAAGAAUACAAAUCUGCCGAAUGGCUCGUAUGAUCGUGACCAUUCACAAAACGCUUAGAUUUGAUUUUUGAAAUAUAGUAGUAUCAUGUGAUAUCUUCCUCUGAAGGCACGAGAGGGGCGCGCACAAACAGUGACACCACCACGUACAACAUCCCGUUGGCGUCAAGCGUGGCAUACAUCGAGCGGCAUGUUGACAGACAUGGUUUCAGUUGACAGCGUGCUAAUUAAGCAGCUUGCUUUUUAUUAUUCGCAAUGGCAUGGUCGGGGAUUAUUCCUCAGUCACGGCGGCGAUGAUCCCCCGGUACACGGCAGGCUCAACGAACCGCCGCCGCCGCCGGAGUAAGAUUUAUCAGCACCUUCGCCGGCGCCCUUAGCUCCCUGGCUCGCGCCGGACCCCGCUUUUUCAGCACCGCCGCCCGCGCCCGACUCUGCUCCUUUGCCGGCUCCUUGGGCCGCCGACCCGAACUGGUCACCGACGCAGCUACCGCUAACGACCUCGCCGACGCCCUCAGCCGCCGACUUCACGGCUGCUCCCGCGCCCCGAGCAGCGGUGUCCACGCCCGUCCCGACUCCUUCGGCCGCUUUGCGGACCUCGCCACCGACGCCCUGGCCGUCGGCAGUCAUCACGACCACCAUGCUGACCAUCACCAGCAGCAGUGCCGCCAGGACAACCCCCUUCUUCCCCAUGCUCCCUCCUUCUUGCUCCACCUAAAAUGAUCUAUGUAUCGACCGAUGAAGCAUACAUAACAUCCAAGGGAGGCUAUUUAUACUUGCCAAGCUACCUUGGUGCGGUCUUACUUUUCAUUUCCAGGUAGCACAUUGGCUACAAUAAUGGAUAUGGACCAUCGUGUCUUGAUAGCAUGAAAAGACAAGGAACACCUAAUUCCAUCACUAAUCUAGUGCUCCUUCCAACACAAACUUGUUCUCAUCUACUUAUAUCCCUCCUGUAGCUGCAGCUACAUGUAUACUGUCCAUCAGAAAGCUCAAAUAUGACUGAGAUUCAUGCAACUAACAAAAAGAUGCCAAUAUCUGAAUAUUAACAUAGAAAACUAAUCCCAUCACUGAGUAACUAGUGCUCCGUCCAACCAAAUGUUUUUCUCGUCUAUAUCCCUCUUGUAGCUGCUGCUGCUGCUACAUGUAUAACCUCCAUUCAUAUUGUAACUAACACCCGUUCACUAGUGCUACCUUCCUUUUUCUUUUUUUGGAUGCACUAACACCUUCCCAGUGUCCAUCAAAGUCGAACACUUCUGUAUUUUUCACAUUUCCAUGCACAAUUAAUUAAUUAAUUCGGCACUCCGACACAAGAUGCUCCGAAGGGAGGCUUCUUGCACGAAUGUACUAUGAUCAACGGUUUUGCUAUUUCUUAGACAACCGAGAGAUAACAGUUUCUAGAUUGACCACAACAACCAACCGAACUAAUUGAUAUCCGUAAGAGAUAGAAAGAACUCUUCAUCAAACGACCAUGAAUGUAAGUAUUUCUGAAUUAACACACACAACAGAACCACAGCAAUAAUCAGGUGCACAAAACAUACUGAGCAGAUUGAUUUUAUUCAUGGUGCAAAGCAUCAGCAACAGAAUGGUGGUAGAGCAACACCACCAGCCAACAGGACUACUUUUCUUAUCAGCCACAUUCUUGCUUGCCCAUGCUUACUACAGUAGCAGUCCCCUGCUACAUGACUCGCUAGACUCAAACAAAAUACUGUUUUCAUCUGCAUCUUCCAGAUGCAGCUACAUGUAAUAUCCAGUGAUAUCGAGAUCAGAAACCUCGUAUACAUCAUCCUUGCUUCACCAAAAUUAACCAUGCGAGUAAAUGACAGUGUACAAUGACAGUGUACUUAACGCAUAUCUUGCCAUCAUAUCACCACCCCUCGUAUCUCCGCCAUACAUAUUUUGCUUUCUACAAAAAUUUGUCUGGCAAAGCAAAUUCCCCUUACUUUGCCGGCUGCCAUGUUUUUCUACUAACUUACCUGCCCUGCAUAUCUAGCUAGAUGGAUAGAUAGAUAAAUGUUACAAGUAAUAAAAAAGGUUACUGGGAUGUCGUGCUGUCUUUUGGCACAAACCACAGCAAGGCAGUGCCAUAUGUAGUAUAUCAUCUUCGUUCGCCUGUCCCUCAGCUGGCGAAACCCCGCAGGAAACCGAACCGGCUCGAACUCGAAACAGGUCUCUUGAGUGUUGCUGCUGUGCUUGAAGUGUCCUUUGGCGCCUCGGGGGUCGGCACUCCUUCCUUCAUCGAAGUUGCCCGGUUGAUCACAGCCUAGAGAGUAAACAGCAAGAGCUUCAGUUGCAUUCGGUUUGGAUUUAACCAAGGUACUCUAUGUUGUAUACUAAAAACAGCUGGUAGAAUCGUACAAACAUAUUCUAUCUACAAAUAGAUAGUCCAACCUACCAUGUUAAAAAGAUGGCGGUGCCGGGGUCAAAGUUCCACAACAUAUAAUACAUCCACAAAGUACAUUUUUCUUAAGGUUAUUCUUUUCUACAGCCCGUACAAGCUGUCACUCAAGGAGUGAUAUGUUUUUUAUUAAAAAAAUCACCACAUUCUGAUUAACAUGGAAGAGCAAACUAGAGUUAGCAGACCAAAAUUAGGUUCAGAAUGUAAUGCUAUAGAUAUCCAAUAUUCACGGCUAGUACUUUCAGGCAGCAUGUCACAUCACUGUGUACAACAAUCAUUAGGCAGAUCGCACCAUCUUCUUCAAGUGGAAAGUGUCAACAGACCAUAAGAAGCCCUAAUGAACAAAAUGCAAAGAAAUGCUCUUACCCUUUUAGGUAUUGCUGUAGUUCCAGCUAGCAUACUCAGUCCUGAUGCUGAUAUGGCUGUAGACGAACGCAGAACCUAUACAACAUUAAAAUAUUAGAUGCAAUAGACCAGGCCAAAAUGUGUUGUAAAAAGAUAUGUAAUUGAAACUGACCUUAGGUGGAUCUGCUCUAGGUGAUUGAGCUACAGGAGACACGGGUUCUGAACCUGACGGCAACGAAGCAGUCUGUAGUAAGAAAGAGAAAAGGGUCAGCCUGUGAAGAUCAAAACUAUACUGAAACUGGAAAAAGGGUGAAUGAAGUUACCCUAGUAAUUCCUUCUGAAGACUCGAUUGCAGGGAGAGGAGUUGAUGCUGUGACCUGAAAAAUGAUUUUGCUUACAAGAUUAGUAUUCACAAAGAACACGACAUUCGAACCAACAGGCCUCAUGCCAUAGACGCAUCAUGAAAAUUGGCACAAUAAAAUAAGUACACUAUAGGGAAUAAGGUAUGAGAUAUAUUCUCGGGACUUACCUUAAGAGUAUCGGCUUUCGGACUCCGAUCCAAUCUUUUAGUGAACUCACAUAACUCAUGUAUUCCUCGUGUUGUGUGAUCCUGAGAUAUUUCAGUCAAAAGGUUAGCGGCACAUAACCUCUACAGAAAAACAAACUGUGGGCUAGGAAUUUCUACUUACUUGAGUAUAUGCAAGGCGUCCAAGCUUUGUCUCCUGCAAAAGGGCAAGAGAUUUAGUUUGCACUUACUACUAGAAGUCCUACUCUAAGGGGAAGAGAUUAUAUUAAAGUAUUGAACACAGAGAUACAAGCAUGUACAGUGCACGCCUGAAAGGUACUACUCCACUACUUACCAGAGUGCGGACAACAUGGUGAACUGAUUGUAUUUCCUCCUGAAAGGCACUUAGAUCUCCAUGUAUUACUGUAACCUGUGAAAUACGUAUUAUUUUUGCAUCAGCAUCUUUUAAAAUACACUAAAGCUUGGAAACAACAAAUAUGCGGGCAAGUUUCUCAAACCUCUUUCCCUGUGGCUUCAAUAAUUUCGUGGCAUUCAUCUAGACUACAAUCGACUCGGUCGAUCCUUCCAGCCAAAUGCUUUUUUGAAGCCUGAUAUCAGCAGAAUGAAAAUAAAUAUAGUUUUCGUUAAAACAAAUGAGAGUCAGCGCGAAUAAAGCUAACAUAUAACACAAUGUUAGAAAUAUGUGAGACCUAUCCAAACAUCAUUUCUGUUUGUGUGCCUUUUCCUCUUCUAAAUGCAUACAAGCACAAAGUAGAAUUAUGCAAAUUUUGUAGGUGCAGACACGUAAACCGGAAAUGUACGUCUACAUCAUGUGGCAUAAGAAAAACAGAUAAACAACAAUGCAAGAAAAAUGUUUUGCCAUUUAAUAAAAAUAUUGGAUGUACAAUGUGUUUAGCUGUUUUAACUGAGCAAUUUCUGACAUGCUAUAUUUCAAAGUUUAAUGUACUAGUUCUAAUAGAAAUUGGCAUAGUUUAAGACAUAAGCUUCAUCAAUAUGUCACCGACUGGGAUGAUUAAUUACUUAGAUGAAUCUUAUAAUGCAACUUUACUAUAAUACAUUUUGUAGUGACAGCACUAUGGCAUCCUUGCACCUGUCAUCUGGAAAUGUCACGCGGUUUAAUAACAAUAUUCCAGUGAAUCUAGGACGAAGAAACUUACAUGAACACUUUCCGAAACCUGAUCCAAUUGUUUGCCAACUACGUUGCAGGCAUCAGCCAAGCCACGCUUGGUGACAAACAUCAUAUCAGAAAUUUUCCAUCCCUGUAAAUUAGCGGGUUAGCUUCAAGAGAAGUGCCAAUGGUGAACUUCAAACAUCAGAGUGGGAACAGGAUGAGCUCAGGUUGCAAUCUCGGACCACUACACUAAGAAUCUAAAAUGACAAGAAAGAAAAGUAGCCACCUGUAGGACAGUGUAACAUAACGUUAUUUUCUAAUUUGUUAACACAUAUUAUCCUUGCACCAAGUUGACAGGGAGAUAGAUGUUUACCUUCCAUCUUAUGUAUAAAUAGCCAAUGGCUCCAACAGCAAUAAAAGUUAAACCAUAAGCACCAGCGCCUGCAAGAGAAUGAUUUUACUUCAGCCGAUAUAAAGAAAAACAUAUGAUACCAAUUCAAUUCGGUUCCUAGCAAGUUAAAUUGAAGUGACAAACAGCACAUAAUGAGCAUAUUCUCUGAUAACUUGGUUCACAUAGGUUGAUGCAACAGGGCACAUCGCAUAAAAGGCGAAGAAGACAUGGUUACUUGAGCUACGGACACACAUGAUUUGGGUAUGGAAGAGAGGAAGCAGGCAGCAAACCUGGUCCACCAUUGACGUUGAUAAUCUGCGGGCAUUGAGCCUCACGGGACAAUGCUUGGAGCUGAUCCCUGAGAUAGUUGACCUGAAACGCGAGGUCGAUCGACUGGUCGGGUUAGCGUCUGUGCUGCAUACAGCAAGCAAGCAUAUUUGGGGAUAUUAUGAUAAAGAGGCGGAUGAAGAAGAAGACCUGAGACAACAAGAGGUCGUUCUGCGGCGAGGCGUUGGACGAGCCUUCCUUCUUGCCCUGCUUCAUGAACUGGAUGGCACAAAGAGGGGAGGGGGUGAGAUGGUGAAGGUGAAUAUAACAUAACAGAACAGAACGGGGGAUCCUCAUCGAAUCGACACAGGCAGCGGCCAUGGAUGGAUGGAUGGAUACGAUUACGGCACCUUGAAGGAGAAGGAGAGCACGUCCCUGAGGUCCGGAAGCUUGCUGCCGUCGCCGCCGGUGACCAUGGUUCCGAUGAUCCCUGCAGGCAUACAUACAAACAGACACCACUCCGUCAGCUGCCUGCCUAGCUUAGCAACACGGGGAGCGCGCGCGCGAGCGAGCGGGCGUAAUCGGCACGGGGCAAUCAGCUCGCGGCGCGUCACUGGGAUGGAGGGGGAUUCGCGUGGGGGAGGCUAAAUCGAUGCGGCUCGGCACGCGGGACGGGGAAGGGGGANNNNNNNNNNNNNNNNNNNNNNNNNNNNNNNNNNNNNNNNNNNNNNNNNNNNNNNNNNNNNNNNNNNNNNNNNNNNNNNNNNNNNNNNNNNNNNNNNNNNNNNNNNNNNNNNNNNNNNNNNNNNNNNNNNNNNNNNNNNNNNNNNNNNNNNNNNNNNNNNNNNNNNNNNNNNNNNNNNNNNNNNNNNNNNNNNNNNNNNNNNNNNNNNNNNNNNNNNNNNNNNNNNNNNNNNNNNNNNNNNNNNNNNNNNNNNNNNNNNNNNNNNNNNNNNNNNNNNNNNNNNNNNNNNNNNNNNNNNNNNNNNNGCUGGCGGGUGGGAGGGCCACGGCGACGACGAGGACCAGGAAGAAGCUAGGGUUAUUCGGGGUCGCUCCACUGCGCCUUCCGCCCUCCCUCUCCCUCUCUCUCUCUCUCUUGUUUUAUUUUUUGUUUUUUUUUUGUUUUGGGUUUUGUUUUUGUCUUUCUUUCUUUCUUUCGCAAGGGGAGAAGAGGGGUGGAGAUGCUGCGAGGGCAGACGACGCGCUCGCGCGGGCCGGGGCAGGGCCGGGCCGGGCCUGGGGGAGAAAAGGAUGGGCCACUACAUAUUGGAUCGAAUGGACGGAUGGGCCCAGAUAAAAUAAAAUUCGUGCCCUCAAAAAAAAUCGUUGACCGAUUAUUACACUUUUGCCAGCACUAGUAAGCAUGCACGUGCAACGCACGUCUCUGUAGUGGUAUGUCGGGGCGAUGACCCCAGAGGCGGUACCGGCUGAGUGCGCAAGGCGUGUUGGAGCAGUGGACGUUUUGGAGGCGACCCCGAGAGCUUUGCAACUUCGACGACAUGGACCUCGGGUCAUGUGGGUUACAACUAUUGCAUGCAUGUGGAAUGCUUGUGUCUUCAUCUCCGCGGGAGAGUGCCUCAUGACUUUCUUUCCGGCAGUGAUGGAAGAGCCGCUUGUUCGGCGGAGCGAGUCCCCUGGCUAGUGUGUGUUUGUGUGGUUUAUAAAUUCAUGACGUCCUUCUGCCAAUUUUCAAUGAAUCAUGUUCAUAACUUUAAUCCAAAUAGUAAAUGUCAUAAACGAGCUACAUGUAGUUCAGCAGAGUCCACUGCCUCCUUCCCCCUCCCCCGCCUCUUAUCUUGGGAUGCUCAAUUCAAAAAAGUAGUCUUUGGCCACCUCAAGAAUUGAGGUAUUUACUCUUUGCUUCCCAAGCAAUCCCCAUCUAACCCCACCAUCUUUGGGUUUCUCAUGAAUAUAAUAUUUUUGAUUUAGUAAAAAAGGCACUCAGGUCUUGCAUCCACAUAUUGGGUUCUUUGUUAUGUUGCGGGAAGAAAUCCUCUCUUGUUGGCCCUUCAAAUUGAAAAUGCAUGGCAAUGUUAUCAGCUUAUACUUGAAGAUGGUGCGCAACCUAGACACAUACCGCAAGAAUAAUUUUGUCCAAUAAAGUGUUAUAUAAUAAUCCACUCAUGGGCAGUAGAAGAUAUGAAUUUAAGGGGCCAUGCACAAAAGACUAACAUUAAGGGUGAAUCACAAAUGUAUGAUAGAAAGUGGUACUAAAGCUUAGGUGAAGAAAAUUUCCUAAAAGAAAAUAUGUACCGACUGUCGAAAGAGCGUGACCGGCAGCGGACUUUGGAGGGAACAUUUUACCACUAAAUAAGCUGCUCCAUUUGACAUGCUUAAUUAGUUGUAUUGAAAUUUUGACAACAGCAGGUUUACUUGUUUUACCAGUGACUUGUAAACCAUGGCUAUUUUUUUUCAAUCUUAUGCUACAAUAUAAAACUGGAGACUUUGUCAAAAAAAAACUUUGUCAAAAAAAUAUAAAACUGGAGAGAAAUCCAAUAGGUUUAUUUCACACGAUAUCCUGAAUUGAUCAAAACUACUACCCCAACACCCACUUUGUGAAACUGCUCAAUUUGAGUGAAAUCCAGACAGAAAGCAAUGGUCCGCAAUCGCAAAUUCAGAAAAACAAUAGCAGGCUGCAAGGUGGAUACCAGCAUUUUCACGUGAAAGCAUUUACACUGGCAGUACAGUUGAUGUCCUAGGGGCUGCUACAUUUCCCUCUUGCUUUUCCCAUUUUCAGAGAUGUUGGAAUAGUUAGCAACUGACAACAGAUCUCGAUCAAGCUUCAGGAACUUUAGCGGCUGUAAAUUCAGAAAAAACAUAAAAACACAUUGAGUUCCAUAAUUGCUUUCCUCAAUACAACAAUCCGUAGAUGCUCGGGGUGCGUAUGCACCAGGUGAACAGUAAAAUCAGAAAGAAAAAAAAGAGAGACUAAAUUUAAAAAACUGAUAUCGUUUGCGAUAAAUAUUUUUUUUAGCAUCAGUACAGACACAAGCGCUCAUAUACACGCGCAUACACUCAUCCCUAUGAACGCACACACGCAUACCCUACCUCUAUGAGCACCUCCGAGAGACUGAGCCGACAUAUCAUCUUGAGAUUUACGAAGUCACCAUAGGCGCCUCGUCGUCGACGGGAACUUCUCCUCCCACUGAAAGCGCAUCGCCGGAAAUCCUGAAAUAAAUUCAGAAAUAAUACGAGCACCAGGAUUUGAAUCCUGAUGGGUUGGGGAUACCACUGUCCACCUAACCAUCUCAACCACAGGUUGGUUCGCCGGGAUAUGAAAAAAAUAUCUGUCGAGGUCGGGGCAAAAAAAUCCAAAAGGGUGUUUUUUAGGCAUUCGGGAAACAUCAAAAAACAAUUGGCCGGACCUCCAUGAAUGUUUUCUCAUCACUAAUAUUUGCACGUGGUGAAACAUUCAACAAUGUUUCUCACAAAAAAAAAAUAUUAGGCUUCUCUUUUUUAAAAAUGUACUCUUCACACGGGUGAAUAUGCACCGGAAAGCAGAACAUCACUUCCCCUUCUUUGCUUCUUUUUUAUAAAAACAAACCUACACAUAUACAGUGCUGCUACUCUGAUCUGAUUUAUUCGCUUUUAAUCCAUGAAAUAAAAUCCUAGCAAGUGUUACUGUCGAAAGAAACUCCUACCUAGAUUAUAUACUAGAUCUGAAACACGCCUUGGCGCGAGGGUGCCGGUCAUAACGAUGUGCCCAACCAGGUAAUGCUCAGUUUAGUAGGAAGUCAGAUUUAACAUACAUAUUCAAACAGGAUAUGACAUAACAAACUAAAGGAAGAAGAAACAUUCACACAUAAUAGGAGCAAAACAUCAUCCAGUUCAACACCGUAAUGAGAAAUAAGGCAACAUUCAGUUUAGUGCGUCGGUGAGACAACUAUGUAACCACUUGACAUUAAGUUUGGUAGGAAAAACGUGAACAUGAGAGGGUAUUUACGGUAACCACUUGACCACAAGGUUCUUGAGACCACACGGUUGCCUUCUCGAUCAACUUCACAGGGCACAUUAUCCCUCAAAAAAAAACUUCACAGGGCACAUUAACCUGAUGCAGGCAAUCCGUUAGAUACAUUUCAUAGAACGAUUUGUGUGUAGACAUUGCACAUGCGAUUUUGUACCUUAGCCUUUCAAAGCUUAUGGACGGUGAGCAAUGGUUUCCCAUUUUCAAUUUUGAAGGCAAAGACACAUAUCUAAUACUCUCUAGUCCCUGCCUCUUUGACAAAGUCUGACCAAUUGUUGUUAUUGUUUGUCUCUUGUCCGUACCCAUCAUCAUCCAGACCUGUCUCAUAACAUCUCCAUUGCUGAGACUAACCAUCACGUCCUCGGCCGAUCAUUGAGAUGGUGCUUUAGAUGCAUUUUUUGUGAAGCGACAGAAGUACUGCAAAAAGAAACAUGAUCGGUCAUAGCUGGGUACUACAAUACUCUACUUUAAGUAGUAGGGUAUUUAAGGUCCAUACCAUCCUCAGUCCAGGAGUGACAAAGGUCUUGUUCAUCUUGCAAACAUAAUAUUUGAUGACAGGGACAGUUGAACCAAUGUAAAGCUCAAGUCAUUUGAUCUCGCACAGGAAAAUGUCUAAUUCACCUGCAUAGACACAUUCCUGUUAGACUACUAUAAUAAGUAUCCUGUGUUGAAGAAGUAUACUACAUUGGAUAAGCAUGUAGGAGUAGUUUGCAUCACAAUAACCUUUUGGUAAAAUCGUUGUAAAUGCAGCAAAAAGAAAAAUCAUAGUAAAUGUGGACCAAGAGGUGGCAAAUAAUUAUAAACUAUACAGGUACAAAAAUUGUAAGUUAAAUGAUGCAGCUUGUGGUAGGACCUUUGACCUAGCAUGUUGGGAAAUAUGCCAGUGAAAUAUGCAGCAUAGCUUUAAUGUGAAGCAGCUAUUUGAAUGAACCCAAGCAAAAUAUUCCAUGUCAUUCUUUACGGAAUUUAGAUGAAAAUAGCGUAUCAGCAAGCAUGUGCUCCUAAAAAGAAGCCAUGUCUAGCGGCUCCUAAAAAGAUUCCAUAGACAUAAAAAAAUUGUACAGGAGGGGCAAUUUAUGCACACUACAAAGAAAAUUUUGCAUAACAAUUUGACCUUGCAAAUACUUGCAAUUAGACCUUCUAAUAAAUAAGGUAUGCAACGAAUAGGAAUAAAAAGGGAUAUCAAAAACAUGCAUCUAGAAUAAAAAGAGAAGAUAACCAAUAGCACAACCUGUACUUUGGAUGUAUCCUCGGAUGGUAAAACUGUUCCCAAUACAGUGCUGAAAAAUGGAAAGGAUGGUCUUAUUAGCUGACAGGAACACAAACCAGAAUUUAGUAAACCAACAUUACAUUACUUGAUCCCAAGAACACAUAGGAAGUAAGUUGUUUGGAGGUACCAAUUGGAUGAGUUCAUCGUCAUUGAUAGAGCGGUUCACCUUCUCAUAAAGCCUGAACAAUGCUUCCAUCUCAUUCCUUGACACUUGAUUUAAUUUCAGAAAAAGAAAUCUGAAUCAAACAACCCAAACAGUGGUAAGAAUAAACUGGGAGGAGGAGCUCACAUGAAGAGGUGCAAGCUGAGAGAGGAUAUCCAAGCUGAUGGGAGGCGCAGGCCUUCGGUUACCUUCACAGGAGCAGGGUAGCAGACUCGUGUCAUCAGUGGCCGAUCUCAACCUGGACAAAUUAUCAACCAGCCACCAUUUAAGAUUCAACCUCGUGCCAAAAAAUGCUUGGAUAAUAGUCUGGCGGUCAGGAAAUCUUGAACGGAAAUUGCUUUGAUAUUAGUCCAACUACAAGGGUGGCAAAAUACAUUUGGUUUAAUCAAAGUCUUUCUAAUAUAAAACAUGUUCACUUCAAUUAUUUUGGGAGCUCCAUCUAGCUAUAGGAAAAGUUGCAAGAACCUUAUGGCAAACAGUACAUGCAUCUCAUGAUCACUCAUCAGAGUGAACAGUUUAAUGGCACUUAUAAUCCCCAUGACUCAUAAUAUCAGAAGAUAACCGAUACAAAAUGAGAUGUAAGAAUGGCAUCAUUAUGAAUCCAAUUUCAGAUGAGAAACAAUGAAAAAGAACUCACAUGAAAAUAUUUCUGAUAAGUAAUAAGGAGCAUGUACAUUUGCCUUUUGCCUCAUUGUCUCUCCCUAUCCUGACAGAACUCUCAAGAUCUGCUACACACUGAUAAACCCAUGUUUAAUCACGUAAGGUAUAGAAACAUAAACAGAUGGAUACUGGACUUAUUCAGCAUGCCGACCAAACCUUAAUAAACACUACAUUAACACAUGUCAUGUUGUAGCAGAGGCGUUAUAGUAGACACGCAAGCACGACACCAACUGCGACUAAUGCAUCAUUUAAACAGUAAUCUGUCGGACCACCACAACAGGAGAGAAGAUCAAAAACUACCUGAAUCCAUGGUCGACAAUGACACUGCUCCUCCACUUCAGUGUGCUCCAACCACUGGCCACACACACUGCUGACCAAACCCCGCAACCUGGUCAAUCUGGCAAUGUUGGGGAUAUCGCUUAUCGGGAACUUAUCGGUCGACCCAUGAUAAGGGGUAAAUCGGCCAGUUUAUCGGCAUAUCGGCCGAUUUAUCGCCAUAUCGGCAGAUUUAUCGGCCGAUUUAUCUUAUCAGUCUGACAGCGGUAAGCGAUAAAUCGGCCGAUUUAUCGGCAUAUCGGAAGAUAUCUUGAACAGUGAUCUGGCAGGAUUGGCCAUGCCCAAGGAGGUCGUGGACGCUGCAAUUAGCUCUGCUCUGACGCCCCACCUUCUCCAACUCCACCCUCAUAAGAAUUGAAUGCUACAAGAAAUCAGUCAGUUCAAACUUGAGUCCCUCCAAAAAUGGUUGGAUGCUAGAAGAUACAGUUAUAGGAUAUCAGACCUUGAAAGGCAUGCCAACCACAAGCUUCACAGUAAGAGACCUAUAAAGGAGCCCAGGAGCCUGGCAAAUAAAGGAGGCUUUCAUCAUUAUAGAACACAUUGAACAAGACAUGAAAGCUACACAUCUUUGCUGUAGUUAUUUUAUCAAACCAAGUAAAAAAGUAGCAUUCUCUUGCUAAAUGCAUGAAAACUAAGAGGCUGCUGAAAGUCAUCCAUGUUUAGAUUAGAGAAUAGCUGCAUUGAGAUAUCUUUUGGUGGGUCAAAGAAGAAAAUAUCAAUACAAGCCACAAAAAAGGGUAUUAGCACGUGCUUCUCACCAAUAUCAGCAUAGAUGUGGUUGCUCAUGCCAAGAAACAACAUGGAUGUGGUUGCCUCAAUUGAACUUAGGCACAAGCUUCUCACCAAUCUCAGAAUAGAUGUUUGCCCUGCCAAGAAACAACAAACAUCAAUUACCAAGCAGAAAAGGCAGGAGAAAGUUACAAACAACAUAGGGCGCGGGGUCUAGAGAAGCCAUGUACCUACACAUCCAAAAGGACCAUGUCAGUGUCUUUGAUAGGACUGUUAUCAGUGGAUCCACAAUGCUGCCACAGACGCGAAACAUACACAUGGAUGGUCAGGUUCUUGUUCCCCACAACAAGAGCUUGCAGAUCAGUCAUCGCCAUUUACAACAAAAGUAUCAGCACCAAAACACAACACCACCGUUAAACUCAGUAAAUCUCUAUGACAUAAAGCAAACCACAGAAUGAAGCCAAUCCCAGUACAGGAGAACAUUCAAAAUAUCACCCCAUCGCAUGGGACGACAUAUUUAUUCAGCCAACACUAUAUGUCGCCACCCAAAAUAUCAUCCAACUCACAAAAGCAUGUCAAAACCCACCAAAAUGAAGACUACCAUCAUACACAAACCUAAGUCAUCCCGGCGGCCUGGAAGACCUCAGGGAAAACAAUGUUCUUGGUCUCAGAGCCGCAUUUGCCAUCAGCAUCUAAUAUAAAGAUUUUCAGAGAAACCCUCGAUGUAACACGAGACACUGCCACAUACAGCUGCCCGUGCGUAAAAACCGGACCCUUAAGAUAUAUACCAACAGCAGACAGGGUCUGUUCCUGGCUCUUAUUAAUUGUCAUGGCAUAGCACACACGAACAGGAAACUGGCGACGUCUAAGCACAAAAGGUGCAUUUCCCUUCUUUGCCAAUAAUUCAAUCCUGGGAAUAUAAACAAUAUCACCCAUAUGUGAGCCAGUCAUAAUGACAGCUUCGAUCAGCCGAUCACCUAAUUCUUUUACAACUAGUCGUGUACUGUUACACAAACCAUUUGCCUGGCUCAGGUUUCUAAGAAGCAUAAUCGGAACACCAACCUUAAGAGUCAGCCUAUGGUUUGGGAAAUUUAUAAUUUUAGUUGCGUUCAGGUACUCGACUGGAUAGUAAAUAUCUUUGUCCCUAACAGAAUCAGAAGAAUCGUCAAUAGAAUCAGCACUCAAAUAGUCUCUGCUAUCAGUAGGAACCAAUGCAAGAAUAUGAUCAUUAAUAUCCUUAGCAUGGUCGUUGGUAGGGGCUAAAAUGGCUCUCUCUUGCAAGUAACCAGAGUUCAAGUAGUUAUGCAAAAAAAUCACCAUAGACAGAAGAAACAAUAGCAGCAACUAGAUCACUAGACGUACAAACCAAGAGGUCGUCCAGGAUCUGUAUCCAAGAAGCCUCGACCUCAUCGCCUCGCCUUGUGACAGGCAACUUCCCUUCCCCAAGAUCUAGCACCCAUCUGCUAAACAAGGCAACAUCCUUCUGUGCCCGGGUAUCCGCACCAUGCACACCCAAGCGCAUGUUAAUAGAAAGCGACAAUUUUUGAACAGAAUGCCACAACGGAGAAUUCAUGAUUGCCGCAUCAAUGAUCUGAGGCCUAGUACCUCCCUCAACGACCGGUAAGAUUUGUCUAAGGUCACCACCCAAGACCAUCACUACUCCACCGAACGGAAUAUUCGCAAGAUCUGGAUUAGCCACAGAGAGGACAUCACGCAAAGUUCUUCUACAUCCUCAAAGCAUUUCCUGUGUGUCAUCAGCGCCUCGUCCCAAAUAACAAGCGAAGAUACCAUCAGCAACUUACAAAGCUUAGAGCCUCUUUUAAUAUCACACUAUGUAUUAUCUUCAAGAAGAAUAGGUAUCUUAAAGCGAGAAUGAGCAGUCCUCUCACCAGGCAACAACAGCGACGCAAUACCCGACGACGCAACAGUAAGCACUAUCUUCCUCUCGCCCCUAAGGAAAGCACAUAUUGCACUCCACAGGUAUGUCUUCCCAGUACCACCGUACCCAGAGACAAAAAAAGGCCCGGUCUCCCCGCCUGCACACACUCUACAAUCGUCUUAUAAGCAACCAAUUGGUCCUCAUUUAAACUAUCAAACAUGACCAAGGACUGUUUAGACAGAGCACAUGCAUCAUAAGACAGUUCCUCACGAAUUAGACGAUUAUCAUCAGACUGCUCACCUUCGCCAGAGCGAGACGGCAAGUUAAAAUUUCUUAUAUCAGAACCACGUUUCAAGAAAACGUCGGCCAACUCAUCAAGAAGCAUAUUUCUCAAUCUUUCAGGAGGAACAACAUAGUUUGGAUUACCCAGGGCAUGGUGCAACCCAUGCUGGAUAUCAUCGUACAUGCUAGCGCAGUAAUGUUCAAAGAAACCCAUCUCAUCCUUGAUAGAACAAUGCAUGAGCAUAGUCACAAAUAGCUGUCUAAGUCUAUGCCCGAACCCCCAGACAACCGCUUCAUCAAACGCUAUGUACAACUCAUUGUCGUCUCCUAUCAAACCACGCGCAGCACAAGCCUCUUUAAAGGUGUUAUAAAGACGACUAGCAUAUGUUCAAAGAUCUUCGAAAGACCUAGCCCCCUUAACAAUCGUCAAAAGCAUGCGCGAGUAAUACAACUCACCACUCAAAGGAUGGACAUAAUACACGCGGCCAAUCUUUUCACCCCCACCCCUUCGAUGCCAUAACCUACUUUUAGCGUCCCAUGUCCAAGCAGUUGGAAAAUCACAAUAAGUUAAUGAACGGGCUUCUUCGAACAUCUCAUUCGCAACAAACCAUUCGGUAAGCAUAGUCUUUCGCAAGAAGUCAGAAUCAACAAUUUUCAUGAGGUCAGCACCAGCACGAUAGUAAACAGUAUUCAUGCCAGGCAUAUGAACGGCCAGCCUUUGAACCGACGGCAUUUUAAAAUGUAUUUCAAACCCAAAUAUGCACCACAAUGCAUCGUACUCACAUAUAUACCGACAUAUCAGAUACUCCUGAACCUCAUCUACUAUACGACAACCAGAUUUAGUCAUUUUUUGGCCUUUCUAACAUGACCUUAGAGUAGUCAGCACCUUUGGUGACAUACUUAAAGAGAUAUUUCAUCACCUGUGUCUUAUUACACCACUCUACAUUUAUAUGUCCCUGAAAUUUCUUGAGCAUCGCCAUAUUAUAAGGAACAACAUGCCUAUUGUCAAGGUAAUGGCCAUUUUUAUAGACCCUUCGACCAUCGUCACGACGUCGAUAUAAGGCAAACCCAUUAUCAUCAAUGACAAUGGUAUCUCUAAAAUCUUUUGGGAAAUAUUUAGAACAAACACCAUUUUUCAUGCAGACACAUUUAUCGUUCAUUUCACCACACGGACCGUGCAUCAUAAACUCAGAAACUAAAGCAUAUCCUAGAGGAUCAAGCAAUGCAUCAGGUAUUUUAGCAGAUAUUGAUGAAUUAAUAUUUUCAACACCAAUCUCACCGUUACCCCCUCUCCGCCAGACAAGUAUAUGCGCGUGAGGCAGUCCCCGCUUCUGGAACUCAACGGUAUACAACACUGAAAAAAGGACAUAAAAGCUCAAUUAGACAACCCAGCCAACAGAAGAAGUAAAAUAUCAUUAAAAAAACAACCACACACAAAGCACAGAGGUCACAAUACCAGCCGUAAUGGGGCCAAAAGCCCGGUCUGACUUAAUCUCGUCCAAGUACUCGGUGAGUUUCAUGUGAUAGACCCUAACAACAAUAUCCGCCCUAUCAGAAGGCGUCUGACCUGGUUCCAAUGCACUGGUGAUCUCAGGCCACUUGGCAUUGCAAGUGAAAGUGGUAAAUAUGUCAGGCGCACUGUGCACCCGACAAACGGCAAGGCCAUCAUGAAAAUUUUCAUGGAAGUAACGACGACCGCCUAUGUGACUGGAAGGUACAAUGGUCCUCUUCCCAAGAGCAUCACCAUCAACACACCCAUCACCUACCGCAUCAGUAAUACCCUGCAUGUGCUCUGAUCUAAGCAUGUCCUGAUUUCUUAUGAUAUACCACAAUCUACUUUCAUCGAUGCACGCGCGUGCAUCAACAACCGACUGAGAAGAGAGGAGACCAUAACAUAUAUAUGGAUUGGGCUGAUCACCCUUGUAAUGGCACAUAAAAUGAUAGUAAUCCUGCAUGGUCAUCCUAUUCCGACUAUUUGUGGAAGCAUCACCACCCCUAGAAGGGUAUGAAGAGGACGCCUCAAUGGCCGGACUUCCAAGUGUAGGAUUAGGAUCUAUAGGUCCAUCGUCAUCAUCUUCUUCAGGAACAAUCAAGUGAGGAACAUCCACCUGGAACCCUCUCUCUCCAUAAGGGAAAAGCAACGGGUAUUGCAGAGGCAUGAAUGCAGUGUUUAGAGAAGAUAUCUGCUGCAAACCGUCGGAACGACUGCAAACAACAAUAUCACGAGAAGAUGCCUCUAACGUGAAGCCGCCACUGACAACUAAAGCAACAAGCCCAGUGGUUGUAGGCAAACUAAAUUGUGGACUAUCGCCCUCAGAAGGUCCAAUAAUACGAAUCGAGAUAUCCUCGAUGGGUUCAUCACCACGAUCCUCUAUCAUCUUACUCGCCUCCCGAAAGGUCUGUACCAAUAGGUUAAACUCAUUAAGCAUGUCUCUAAGACCAACCACAAUACUCUCAUCCACACCCCCAGUAGGCUUAUCAUCUGGAUUUAAGGCAUUCAUCCCAUGUCUAAUCUCAUUAGCUGGGUCAUGUAUAUACAACUCAGCAAACUUAGGGGUAUCAUCACCGCUAGGCACCAACGAACCAAUACAAUGAGACACUUGACCACUGAUCUUAAAAAUCUUAGGUCCACGGCUGCUACCAAACGAGCGUUCAAUAGUAGCACCCAUCGAAGUGAAAGCGAACAUACAGUUGUACUCACGUAUAGUCCGGAUGAAUUUUUUAGCACGAGAAGUACCAUCGAAUCGAAGGAGCUUCCGAAGAUAGGCUGGGGGAUCCUUAAAGGGAGGAAUAUAUACCUUAGCGCCUUUACACAGCGAUUAUAAACCAUCUUACGUUGUGUCCAGGAUGACCUGGACUUUGAACACUCAGCAAACCAAAAGGAGGCACCACAGUAUUGGCACAAGAAAUCCGGAGGGCCAUAGUACGACCUAUCUGCAUAGCAAGCUAACGGCAAAAUCAUCAGCCACAAACCAAGGGUAUAAGGAAGACAAUAAUCACAUAACCAAAACAACAGAGGUCUUGUUAAUAAGUACCUUUAAGGGACUCGGCAAACUUGACCGAGAAACCUUGCCAAUCCUUUGGCACAGGCCCUUGGACAACAAUCUCUGACAAGGCAUGUAAAACCAAAUUAGAGAACAUACGGCAAACAACAAUAACUAACAACAAACCAAGAAAUCUCAUGCACCUUCACAUCCAGGACGUCGCAAUUUAAUUGACACUUUCCAUCGUUUCCGUCUGUUGCGGUCUACCCCGGUCACUCCGAACUCACAUAAACCGAGAAACCAUGCCAAUCCUUCGGCAAAGGCCCAUCAACGACAUGUUCUUAACAGGACAUGCAGAACCAAGUAAGACACCACACGGCCAACAACAACAACCAACAACAAACAAAGAACUUCCAUGCACCUUCAUAUCGAGCGCGCCGAAACUCAACGCACAUUUUCCGUUUUUUGCAAUUUACCGCAGCCACGGUCGAGCUCAGAAAAGGGAACCAGCCAUCACCUAACCACGUCGCAAACAACACAGUAACGAAAUAAUUAUCAUCAAUCCCUAGGAGACCAAAUAUAAAAGAAGAACAAUGAUACACACGUACUUGUACGGCUUCGAGGAGGACACCCAACAGGCUGACGUGGCACGUAACGUCUAGCAAUCCUAGGGACCGCCGCACGCCUAGGAGCGGCGGUGAACCCAGGACCAGGGACAACAGUAGCGGCUGCAUUCCCAGAAUCAGCACCACGGCCAGGGACACGGCCACGAACACCCCUACCACUUGGCCGAGGCAUGGCGCCACGCCCAGCGGUAGGCACCUGCCGAGCACCACGCCCACGCCUGGCGAUAGGCUCAGCUCCAGCAGCAGGCACCCGCCGACUCACACCCCUACGCCUGUCAAGAGGCUCAGCUCCAGCGUCAGGCACCCGGCAAGCAGCGACAUGAUCAGAAACAGGGGCACGCCCUAUAUUAGAACCUCCCUGGCCAGUGGCUCGUCCACGACGACCAGCAAAACGCCCACGUCCACGGCCACGACCAGCAGAACGCCCAACACCAGCCUCAACCGUGCCUUGAGCAUGAGCCGCAACCGGACCACGGGCCAUGUCAAUGACCCAACAACAUCAUACACACACGCUGGACAAAUAAGAAGCAAGAACCACGUAAGCAUACAUCAUAGAAUAACAUAACAAUAGGUAGCAGAGUAUAAAACACAGUACAUAUAAUCAUAUACUGCAUGAGCAGCAUAACCAGAAACACGAUAAAACUGUCAUUGAAUAAAGGAACAACGAAUACGACCAUAAUUGAAUAAACGAACCAUUAAUGUUUCACGCGUUAUUACAACCAGACACUUAUUACAGUGUACAUACACACGAGGAUCUGAAUGCAGGUCAACCAGACGAAGGGGAAGAGGACAUUGGAGGGGAGUUCAUACCUGCAGAGGCGGAUCUCAGUUCGGCGGGGGUGGCACGAAUCAGUCCGGCGAGCUGCGCGCUGCUCAGGGGCAGCGCAUGAUCCGGCGAGCCGCGUAGUGCUCAGGGGCGGCGAACGGCGACGGAGAACAGGGGAGGAUCAAUCUACCUCUCUCUAUCUCCACAUGUAUCUACAAUGGAUGCUCAACAAUGAGAUUCUUAAAGCCAAGAUGUAUCACAGAACUAACAACAAGGAAAUAGCCAUUCUUCUCAGUUUUCCAGCAACAACACUGCUCACGAUUUGAUAAGCUCAAUACGUGUGUCUAUUGUCACCUGGCAUAUCAUUCAUAUCUUCAUCCACAUUGGUGCUCAUGAACGUGUACCAGGUACACGGGAUCUCUAGAUUUACUUCUAGAGAAGGGAGCAAGUAGGUAGUAUUUCUACCACAUGAAUCUAGAGGUACUAUUUCUCAAACAUAUUUCUACCACAUAAAGAACAAGUCAGACCUGUGGCGUCGAGGCUGCUGCCCUGCCUGCCCUGCUGCCCUCCUACAUCACCACAGAGUACCAUCGUCACGCGUGCAGUAACAGCAGCUUAGAUCAGAAACCCGAGGUCAGAGGGGCCGAAACCGUGGGAAGCAAAGGCGGUGAGUAGGGGGGAGGGGCGGGGUGGGAGGGGGAGGGUUGGGGAGCUCACCAUGGUGGGGAUCUCGCGAGGAGGCGGCGCCGGUGACGGUGUAGAAUGACCUGGUGCUCACCGAACUCGUCGGCGUCGAUACAAUCAGACGGCCAACAAUCUCCUCCCAGCAACGGCGAGGGGCGAGCUCGACGGGAGAGCAGCGAGGCGGCAACGAUCUCGGUGAUAGGAGACGAACGGGGAGAAGUGGAAUAGGAGCACGGCGGCGGCAGCGGCGGCGGCGGCGAUACAAUCAGACGGCCAACAAUCUCCUCCCAGCAACGGCGAGGGGCGAGCUCGAUGGGAGAGCAGCGAGGCGACAACGAUCUCGGUGAUAGGAGACGAACGGGGAGAAGUGGAAUAGGAGCACGGCGGCGGCGAAGAAUCGUGCUGCAAUGGGCAGUGUCGAGAGAGGGAGAGAGAGCUGGAACGGAGCGAUGCGGCGGCUAGGUUUGGGACAGGAGAAACGGCAGGGAUUUUUAUCUCACAGCGAAAUUCCAAUAAUGCUCUCGGCGGGCGAUCAAAAUUACACGUGGUGGCAUCCCGUUUUGGAUACGGUUUCGAUCUACAGUUUCACGGUUCGAUCCGACGGACGGGAUCCUUCAGGGGCUUGAUCAGACGGUCGAGAAGGCAUCAAGCUCCGGAUCCGACGGCCCGUAAUCGCUAAUCUAUGAGGAGGCUGGGCCUCUCCCAGUAUGUAUCUUACGCGAUAUGGAUGUGCGGCAAGGUGUUGCCGCCCCGAGGCGGCGCUCCGACAACCUGCAACCAGGCUCGAAUCUCAUAUGGCAAUGCCCGACUCUGCCUAAAGUUCAAAUUAAGUGGAAAGUUGCUUCAAGUGUCCCCGACACACAAUAGAAUCUGUGCAUGCGUGGGAUGGAUACUAAUCUAAGGAUCUGUUUGGUUCAUAAGUCUUAAGACUUUUUUAGUCCCAACUUAUAAGUUUCAAGUCCCUAAAAAGUCUCUACAUGUUUGGUUCCUGAGACUUAUAAGUUUCUAUAAGACCAUAUUACAACUAUAAGUCCUUAUAAGUCCUUCCUUAAAAGUCUUAUUUCAUAAGUCUUAAAUGCCCACUUUAAGUCCCUAUAAGUCCUUCUUGUUUGGUUUAGAUGAGACUUAUAGGGACUUAUUUAAGUCCCUAGACCAAUAAAUUUCUGGAAACAAACACUCUCUAACUCGCGUGAUCUAUGUGGUCUGAAGAGCAAGAACACCUCUUUCAUGCUUUCGUUGGAUGGCCUCAUGCCCGCACACUUUGGCUGGCUAUGUGAAGUUUGGGAUCUCCCGAACACUUGAGCUUUUUCAUGCUAAAUGUGUGGGAAUGGAUUCUCCGCGCCUAGCAUGAAUUGAAUAGUGGUAUAUGGCAGGUGCACAUGUGCAUACUGAACUUACACAUGAGAAGCCCACCCCCAUCAGCUGAAGGAUCAAGAAGAUUCCUUGCGAGCUACUCUGUCCGUUCCAAAAUACUUGACGUGGUUUUAUUUCAAAUACUCAACUCACUCAUCCCCAUUCAACAACAUCCCGAUGGUGGCAUUGCCAAGGGCAAGCAUGUGGUCUCUUAUUCGCAAGAUACAACUCUAGAACGACACUGUAUGGAUGGGCGCAACAAGGUGUGACCAAAAUGGUGUUCUUCGGGCAAGACGGGAGUGAAAGUGAAUGCAGACGAGUCCUCCAUGUGUAUUGGUUUUGUGGUGCAGCCGUGCAAGUAUUUCAUCCAGUGACAACUUGUCAUCAUGUUUUUGGUGCGCCAUGUAAAAAGAAUAUUCUCCAUGAUAAUCAAAUAUGGCCUAUUUAUUUUCAGUAAUGUUACCCAGCUGAUGUUCGCUGGGAAGGGGGUGGCAAGCAAACCCUCUUUGAUGGCAAUUUUAGUUUUGAGAAGAGAUAAAACUAUGACAAUUUUUAAACGAAAAUUGCCUUCUGGUACAAUUGUCAUGUCUUCUAUAGAAAAUGCCACCCUCACUAAUUCACCACAACUAAAAAUUGUUACUGAAUCGUUCGCAUGUGCCAUCCCGCGGAACGUUCACCUAUUAACAAGGUCCUUUAUUUUUCGGAGUGAUUCACUUAGGUAUGAGGACCCGCUUUGCUGGCUCUUGUGCUCGUUGUGAGCGCUCAAUCCCGUUGAAUAUGAUCCCUGAAUUAACCAGGGACAGAGAUGUUAUCGUCUUGCUUCCUGAACUAAUCAUGGAAAGAGAUGUUGCCGUCAUGGGAAUAUGGUGAGACCCAAAAAGGAUCAUGCUCCCCCCGGGAUGACCGCUCCCUCCCCUCCCUCCCCUCCCCUCCCCUCUCCCUCGGGAGAAGCGACCGAGGCGCCAUUAAAGCUAGCUUAUCCUCAGCUUCCCACCCACCCCCGCAUCUCAUCGAGUCCUCCCCGCCCCAGUUCCACAUUGGAGAUCUCGCAUGGAUGGAGCGCGUCGUCGCGGCGUGCGGGUGCGCCAACUUGCGCCGGUGGCAAGGGUAGCGGAGCCGCGGACUCGUCUGCCUCCGGCAGCGGCACUGCUGCCCGAAAUCGAUCCACACUCGCCGGAGGCUCGCCGCGAGAUGCGUCGGGUGGUGCUGGAGCGCUUCCCCGAUCGGGACGAGUGGGGGGAGAUCCAUCUCCACAUCCUCCGCCACGCGAACUUCGUCGAGCGCGCGCGCUUAUUGGAGACGACGGCUGCAAGGAUCUGGAGCUUCUCUUCUGGGCGAUCCAGGAGGCCGAAUCGCCGGAUCCGCGUCAAGCUGCGCGGUGGGAGAACUUUAGGACGGCGAACCCGUCCAGGCUCAACAUCCGACCGCCUUCGUGGGAGGGCAUCGCCGACAUCCCGCCGGAGUUCCUUCCGUCGAGGAUUGUUUGGCCCCAAUGCCGCCAGUAGAUCGUCUACCCCAACUGGUUCGAGCUCAGCGACGACCCAUCGAGCCCCCGCCUUGGCCUGGUGAGUUAGGUAUGCACUGCAUUCAUGCUGAUUUACCUCUGAGAGCUCGGUUGCGGGAUUUUCGAUUGCGCCGGCAAAGGGUUGCAAAACCAAAAUGUUUUGGGUGUUUGUAAUCAGGGUGAGGGUUUGGUUAUGGAUUUGGGGGUUCUCCCUCAUGAGACCGUGUGUGUUGAGAAGCGAGAUGCUGUUUAUACAGCUGGCGAGACCUUGUCGGAGCUGGAUUCCGGCGAGGGGCUCAGGCAAAACCCAGGCAGGAAUACUUUGGCGGGGGCGGGGGCACUUUGCCACUUCUCCCCCCAAACCCAGUGUUGACUGGUCCCAAUUUCAAAAUCCGUGUCCUGGGUGAGAAAGCGGGUAGGGUGAGUCGAUUACGUAAAGCAGAAACCCUAGAAAGUGUGGAGGAACACUUUGGCCAGCUCUGGCUUAUUCCUUCCCCUCCCCGCCGCCGCAACUACAAAACUCACACCCCGUAGCCUCAAAAUAACCCUAAAUCCGGAUUCCUCUGUUGGAUUCAGAAAGACCUAGUUGAGAGCAAUUCCUUUGCAGCUGCUGAUUGUUUUCCUACCUCAAUUCGACCUUUCGAUCCACCACCGAAAAACAUCAAAAUCUCGCGAGAGGGGAUUGGCCCUGGCACGCUUUCCUUUGCAGAGGUAGUGAAGUGGGGAUCAAAGAUGGCCGAUCGCCGUGUAGGAGGGGGCGGCAAUCUUGCUGCUGGCCAAUCCAAGGCUACGGGACAGAAGGUUGCCUCAUUCGUUGGACGCAAGCAGCCAUCUGCUCCGCCUGCGAAAGAAUAUGCCCCUGCUCUCAAACCUACCAGAUCCACGGCCUCGACUGGGGGCUCGGCCCAUGUAUAGUCUUCUCAAUCUGGUGAACUGGAAGUUGAACAGGUCCUUGAUCUUAGAUAUAAAGACACGAUAUGCUUCAAUUGUGGGGGCCCUGGUCACUAUGUGGGAAAUUGUGUGAAGCCAAAAGCAUGUUUUAUAUGCCAGCAGAAUCACAAUGUCAACAACUAUGCAGCAUGGUCCAAAGUUGAACCCACUGCUCCUUUCUUUGGCAGUGGGGCGCGAGGGCUUGGUUUCUACCAUGUGGAUGUCCCUGUAGCCAAUGAAUCAAAAUGGCUGGAUUUUUAGAACUAUGUUGUGGUGAACAUUCUGAAAGGAGAAGUGGGCGGCUCUAAGUUGAUGGAACUCCUGACUGCAACAUUUUGCAAGACUAGACAAUGGCCAUGGCAGAUCAGAGGGUUAUCUAGCAAGACCUUCUUGGUUAGAUUUCCCCCUUGGAAGAAAGUUGAGGACCUCAUUGAGCUGCCUGGAUUUUCUCUGCCCCAGGAUGUGAAUGUUACUUUGACUGAAUGGAAAGGUGGCUAUGACCCUUUUGGGGAAUUGAUUGAAGCUUGGGUUCUGAUUGAGGGCAUUCCUCCUAAAUGGUGUACUUGGAAAGUAUUUGCUCAAAUUGCUUCUCUCUUUGGGGUACUUACUGAUGUAGAUUGGAAUGGCAUGUUCAGAACCUUUUUUGAGAAUGUCAAGAUAAAAAUUGCUUGUAGAGAUCCCACCAAGAUACCUUUUGAGAGACUGGUUGAGAUGAAGAAGAAACUUUUCCUGCUAGGUUUUACCGUUGAGGGCUUUGAACGGGUGGGGGGUAGACUCUGUCAUUGAUGUGGAGGAUGAUGAGGAUGGUGAUGAGGAAGAAGAAGGAGCUGAGGAAGAUCAAGUAGCAGAGGGCAGUGGGACUCAUGGAGAACAUGCAUCUGAUGGGUCUGGGGAUGGGGGUUUGGCCAUUGAGAUCUAGAUAAAAGCUAACUUCCCAGCCAAAAUGGGUCUGGCAAGCAUGUAUCUCAGAGUAUGGUGAUGUCACCUAUGGAAAUGUUCCCUGAUUCUGAUCAGGAGAACUUUAUCUUGGAAUGUGCAAUGGUUGAAGCUGAUCAAGGUGCUCCAUCUUCUGAUGGAAACGUGAUGAGGGUUGAACACAAAGAUAAUCUACUAGGAUUUGAUCAAGAGUUUGAUAGAUGUGAGAGAGAGGGUGAUUUAAUGAUUGGAGAGAGCCUGAUUCAAAAAACUCAUGAUCCUUCUGGAAAAAAUGAUAUGACCUUACUUGGGGAGAGAUCUAGGAGUAUGGAUUAUUGUAAGGGCCUACUCAGGUCUGUGGACUUAUCUGAGUCUGAAAAUGAGGAAUCUAAAGAAGAGGAGUUGGGGGUUCUCCCUCCUGAGGCCAUACAUAUCUUACAAAGUGAGACCCUGAAGAGGUCCCUACUGGAAUCAAUCAACCAAGCUCAAAAAUAUGGAACCAUUCUUGAGAAGAAAACUAAAUGGGGGCCUAUUUUAACUCAAAAGCAUGCUACCAGAGGUCAUGGAAAUGUCAACAUCAUGGAGAAAGCUUCUGCAUAUAAGAGGGAGAAGAAUCUGGAAGUCCCAAAAACAUUUAAAGGUAAAUCGUUUUCGACUAUUGAUAAAUCUAUUCUUGCUGAUCAAAUGGAACAAAUAAAUCUAAUAAUUGGAGGGGAUGAACUUCAAAAGAAAGACACCAUUGAGGAGAUGGUGGCUGAGGAAAAAGAGAGAUGUCUGGUUUUUUGCCAGCAAGAACCCUGAAAUUUUCUCCCUGAUAACCUAGAUAUUUAUAUCAAUGAUGUAGUUAGUAUACCUAUGAGUGAAUUUUCCUUUGAGCCAGUUGGCACUGCUGUUGCUACAAGGAAAACCCACACUGUUCUAACUAAAGCCAAGCCUUGUGGCUUAUCACAUCCUUUAAAAAAAUUAACUAUGAUAGGUCUUAUUUGGAAUAUUAGGGGUCUUGGACAACCUGGAAAAAUUCAGUGCCUAUGUGAUACUAUUGCCAAAACUAAUCCUGAUUUUAUCGGUUUUCAAGAGACUAAGAGAGAAAUUAUUUCUGAGGGUUUCCUCAAAGCUGUGGAUAGGUGAUACGUCUCCAACGUAUCUAUAAUUUUUGAUUGCUCAUGCUAUAUUAUCUACUGUUUUGGACUAUAUUGGGCUUUAUUUUCCACUUUUUUUUGGGACUAACCUAUUAACCGGAGGCCCAACCCACUUAUAUCUUUUGAGUGUUAUAAUUUUGCUCUAUGUGCUUCACUUAGAUCUUUUAGACCACGGUGGUGGAUUUGUUUUAAAGAAACUAUUGAUCUCUCAUGCUUCACUUAAAUUAUUUUGAGAGUCUCUUAAUAGCGUGGUAAUUUGCUUAAUAAUAAUAUGCUUGGUGUUCAAGAUUUGUGAAACUUUCUUUUGAGUGUGUUGAAUACUAAGAAAAGAUUGAAGCAUGAUAAUUGUUUUGAGAUAUGGAGGUGAUAAUAUUAAAUUCAUGCUAGUUGAGUAGUUGUGAAUUUAAAGAAUACUUGUGUUAAAGUUUGUGAUUCCCGUAUCAUGCACGUAUGGUGAACCGUUAUGUGAUGAAGUUGGAGCAUGAUUUAUUUAUUGAUUGUCUUCCUUAUGAGUGGCGGUCGGGGACGAGCGAUGGUCUUUUCCUACCAAUCUAUCCCCCUAGGAGCAUGCGCGUAAUACUUUGCUUUGAUAACUUCUAGAUUUUUGCAAUAAGUAUAUGAGUUCUUUAUGACUAAUGUUGAGUCCAUGGAUCAUACGCACUCUCACCCUUCCACCUUUGCUAGCCUCUCUAAUACCGCGCACCUUUCGCCGGUAUCAUACACCUACCAUAUACCUUCCUCAAAACAGCCACCAUACCUACCUAUUAUGGCAUUUCGAUAGCCAUUCCGAGAUAUAUUGCCAUGCAACUUUCCACCAUCUAGUUCAUCAUGACACACUCCAUCAUUGUCAUAUUGCAUAUCCCGGUACACCACCGGAUGCAUUCACAUAGAGUCAUAUUUUGUUCUAAGUAUCGAGUUGUAAUUGUUGAGUUGUAAGAAAAAUAAAAGUGUGAUGAUCAUCAUUAUUAGAUCAUUGUCCCAAGUGAGGAAAGAAUGAUGGAGACUAUGAUUCCCCCAUAAGUCGGGAUGAGACUCCGAACGAAAAAUAAAUAAAAGAGGCCAAAGAAGCCCAAAUAAAAAGAGGCCAUAAAAAAGAGAAAAGGCCCAAAUAAAAAAAUGAGAGAAAAAGAGAGAAGGGACAAUGUUACUAUCCUUUUACCACACUUGUGCUUCAAAGUAGCACCAUGAUUUUCAUAGUAGAGAGUCUCUCAUGUUAUCACUUUCAUAUACUAGUGGGAAUUUUACAUUAUAGAACUUGGCUUGUAUAUUCCAAUGAUGGGCUUCCUCAAAUUGCCCUAGGUCUUCACGAUUAAGCAAGUUGGAUGCACACCCACUUAGUUUCUUUUUGAGCUUUCAUAUACUUAUAGCUCUAGUGCAUCCGUUGCAUGGCAAUCCCUACUCACUCACAUUAAUAUCUAUUGAUGGGCAUCUCCAUAGCCCGUUGAUACGCCUAGUUCAUGUGAGACUAUCUUCUCCUUUUUGUCUUCUCCACAACCACCAUUCUAUUCCACCUAUAGUGCUAUAUCCAUGGCUCACGCUCAUGUAUUGUGUGAAGAUUGAAAAAGUUUUGAAAAAGUUAGAGUAUGAAACAAUUGCUUGGCUUGUCAUCGGGGUUGUGCAUGAUUUAAAUACUUUGUGUGGUGAAGAUAGAGCAUAGCCAGACUAUAUGAUUUUGUAGGGAUAACUUUCUUUGGCCAUGUUAUUUUGAGAAGACAUAAUUGCUUAUUAGUAUGCUUGAAGUAUUAUUAUUUUUAUGUCAAUAUAAACUUUUGUCUUGAAUCUUUCUAAUCUGAAUAUUCAUACCACAAUUAAGAAGAUUUGCAUUGAAAUUAUGCCAAGUAGCACUCCGCAUCAAAAGUUCUCUUUUUAUCAUUUACCUACUCGAGGACGAGCAGGAAUUAAGCUUGGGGAUGCCUGAUACGUCCCCAACGUAUCUAUAAUUUUUGAUUGCUCCAUGUUAUAUUAUCUUCUGGUUUGGACUAUAUUGGGCUUUACUUUCCACUUUUAUAUUAUUUUUGGGACUAACCUAUUAACCGAAGGCCCAGUCCAGAAUUGCUGUUUUUUGCCUAUUUCAGUGUUUCGAAGAAACGGAAUAUCAAACGGAGUCCAAACAGAAUAAAAUCUUCGGGAACGUGAUUUUCUCACCGAACGUGAUCCAGGAGACUUGGACCCUGCUCCAAGGAACAAAAGAGGCGGUCCCGAGGGUGGGGGCGCCCCCCCCCCUAGGGCGUGCCCCCUGCCUCGUGGGCCCCUUGGUGCUCCUCCGGCAUACUUCUUCCUCCUAUAUAUACACACGUACCCCCAAACGAUCAGAACAGGAGCCAAAAACCUAAUUCCACUGCCGCAACUUUCUAUAUCCACGAGAUCCCAUCUUGGGGUCUGUUCCGGAGCUCCGCCGGAAGAGGGCCGUCAUCACGGAGGGCUUCUACAUCAUCCUAGCCUCUCCGAUGAAGUGUGAGUAGUUUACCUCAGACCUUCGGGUCCAUAGUUAGUAGCUAGAUGGCUUCUUCUCUCUCUUUGAAUCUCAAUACAAAGUUCUCCCCUCUCUUGUGGAGAUCUAUUCGAUGUAAUCUUCUUUUUGCGGUGUGUUUGUUGAGACCGAUGAAUUGUGGGUUUAUGAUCAAGUCUAUCUAUGAAUAAUAUUUGAAUCUUCUCUGAAUUCUUUUAUGUAUGAUUGGUUAUCUUUGCAAGUCUCUUCAAAUUAUCCGUUUGGUUUGGCCAACUAGAUUGGUAGUUCUUGCCAUGGGAGAAGUGCUUAGCUUUGGGUUCGAUCUUGCGGUGUCCUUACCCAGUGACAGAAGGGGCAGCAAGGCACGUAUUGUAUCGUUGCCAUCGAGGAUAACAAGAUGGGGUUUAUUUCAUAUUGCAUGAAUUUAUCUCUCUACAUCAUGUCAUCUUGCUUAAGGCGUUACUCUGUUUUUAACUUAAUACUCUAGAUGCAUGCUGGAUAGUGGUCGAUGAGUGGAGUAAUAGUAGUAGAUGCAGAAUCGUUUUGAUCUACUUGUCACGGACGUGAUGCCUAUAUACAUGAUCAUGCCUAGAUAUUCUCAUAACUAUGCUCAAUUCUGUCAAUUGCUCAACAGUAAUUUGUUCACCUACCGUAGAAUACUUAUGCUCUUGAGAGAAGCCACUAGUGAAACCUAUGCCCCCCGGGUCUAUUCUCAUCAUAUCAAUCUCCAUCACUUUAAUCUUGCUUUGCUUUUUUACUUUGCUUUUACUUUUUUACUUUGCAUCUUUAUACCAAAAAUACCAAAAAUAUUAUAUCUAUCACAUAUCACUCUCCUAAGUGACCGUGAAGGGAUUGACAACCCCUAAUCGCGUUGGUUGCGAGUAGUUAUCGCUUUGUGCAGGUAUGAGGGACUUGAGCGUGGCCUCCUACUGGAUUGAUACCUUGGUUCUCAAAAACUGAGGGAAAUACUUACGCUACUCUGCUGCAUCAUCCCUUCCUCUUCGGGGAAAACCAACGCAAGCUCAAGACGUAGCAAGAAGGAUUCCUGCGCCGUUGCCGGGGAGUCUACGCAAAAAGUCAACAUACCAAGUACCCAUCACAAUCCCUAUCUCUCGCAUUACAUUAUUUUCCAUUUGCCUCUCGUUUUCCUCUCCCCCCAAUUCACCCUUGCCGUUUUAUUCGCCCUCUCUCUCUCUCUCUCUCUAUCCUCCCUCUCUAUUUGCCUCUUUUAGCCCGCUUGCCUUUUUGUUUGCUCGUGUUUUAGAUUGCUUGUUUGUCGCGAUGGCUCAAGAUAAUACCAAAUUGUGUGACUUCACCAAUACCAACAAUAAUGAUUUCCUUAGCACUCCGAUUGCUCCUCUUACCGAUGCUGAAUCUUGUGAAAUUAAUACUGCUUUGUUGAAUCUUGUUAUGAAAGAUCAAUUCGCUGGCCUUCCUAGUGAAGAUGCCGCUACUCAUCUGAAUAGCUUCGUUGAUUUAUGUGAUAUGCAAAAGAAAAAAGAUGUCGAUAAUGAUGUCGUUAAAUUGAAGCUAUUUCCUUUUUCGCUUAGAGAUCGUGCUAAAGCUUGGUUUUCGUCUUUGCCUAAGAAUAGUAUUGAUUCAUGGAACAAGUGCAAAGAUGCUUUUAUCUCUAAGUAUUUUCCUCCUGCUAAGAUCAUCUCUCUUAGAAACGAUAUUAUGAACUUUAAACAACUUGAUCAUGAACAUGUUGCACAAGCUUGGGAAAGAAUGAAAUUAAUGAUAUGUAAUUGCCCUACUCAUGGUUUGAAUUUGUGGAUGAUUAUACAAAAAAUUUAUGCCGGGUUGAAUUUUGCUUCUAGAAAUCUUUUAGAUUCGGCCGCGGGAGGCACUUUUAUGGAAAUCACUUUAGGAGAUGCUACUAAACUCCUAGAUAAUAUUAUGGUUAAUUAUUCUCAAUGGCAUACUGAAAGAUCUUCUAAUAAAAAAGUGCAUGCGAUAGAAGAAAUCAAUGUUUUGAGUGGAAAGAUGGAUGAACUUAUGAAAUUAUUUGCUACUAAGAGUGUUUCUUCUGAUCCUAAUGAUAUGCCUUUGUCUACUUUGAUUGAGAAUAACAAUGAAUCUAUGGAUGUGAAUUUUGUUGGUAGGAAUAAUUUUGGUAACAACGCUUAUAGAGGGAAUUUUAAUCCUAGGCUAUAUCCUAGUAAUCCUUCUAAUAAUUAUGGGAAUUCCUACAACAACUCUUAUGGAAAUUAUAAUAAGAUGCCCUCUGAAUUUGAGAAUAGUGUUAAAGAAUUUAUGAAUUCACAAAAGAAUUUUAAUGCUUUGCUUGAGGAGAAAUUGCUUAAAGUUGAUGGUUUGGCUAGAAAUGUUGAUAGAAUUUCUCUUGAGGUUGAUUCUUUAAAGCUUAGAUCUAUUCCUCCUAAAGAUGAUAUCAAUGAGUCUCUCAAAGCCAUGAGAAUUUCCAUUGAUGAGUGCAAGGAAAGAACCACUAGGAUGCGUGCUUCCAAAGAUACCUUUAUUAAAGCCUGUUCUUCCAAUUCCUAUGAAAAUCAAGAUGAGGAUCUAAAAGUUAUUGAUGUGUCCCCUAUUAAAUCUUUAUUUUGCAACAUGAAUCUUGAUGAAACUGAAUAUGAUCUUCCUUUACCUAGAAGGCAUUCUAAAAAUUCGGAGUAUUUAGAUCUUAAUGAUGAAAUUGAUGAAAGUGGGAUUGAAAGAAAUAAAAAUCUAGAUGUUGCUAAACCCACUAUAUUGGAUUUCAAGGAAUUUAAUUAUGAAAGUUGCUCUUUAAUUGAUUGUAUUUCCUUGUUGCAAUCCGUGCUAAAUUCUCCACAUGCUUAUAGUCAAAAUAAAGCCUUUACCGAACAUAUUGUUGAUGCCUUGAUGCAAUCUUAUGAAGAAAAACUUGAGUUGAAAGUUUCUAUCCCUAGAAAACUCUAUGAUGAGUGGGAACCAACUAUUAAAAUUAAAAUUAAAGAUCAUGAGUUUUAUGCUUUGUGUGAUUUGGGUGCUAGUGUCUCUACUAUUCCCAAGACUUUGUGUGAUUUACUAGAUUUCCGUAAUUUUGAUGAUUGCUCUCUAAACUUGCAUCUUGCGGAUUCCACUAUUAAAAAACCUAUGGGAAGGAUUAAUGAUGUUCUUAUUGUUGCAAAUAGGAAUUAUGUGCCCAUAGAUUUCAUUGUUCUUGAUAUAGAUUGCAAUCCUUCUUGCCCUAUUAUUCUUGGUAGACCUUUCCUUAGAACGGUUGGUGCGAUUAUUGAUAUGAAGGAAGGGAAUAUUAGAUUUAAAUUUCCAUUUAAAAAGGGCAUGGAACACUUUCCAAGAAAGAAAAUAAAAUUACCAUAUGAAACUAUCAUGAGAGCCACUUAUGGAUUGCCUACCAAAGAUGGCAAUACCUAGAUCUAUCCUCGCUUUUAUGCCUAGCUAGGGGCGUUAAACGAUAGCGCUUGUUGGGAGGCAACCCAAUUUUUUUUAUUCCUUGCUUUUUGCUCCUGAUUAGUAAUAAAAAAAUUAUUUAGCCUCUGUUUUGGUUGUGUUUUUUGUGUUUAAUUAGUGUUUGUGCCAAGUAGAACCGUUGGGAAGACUUGGGGAAAGUCUUGUUGAACUUGCUGGAAAAAAAACAGAAACUUUAGCGCUCACGAGAACUGCUGUCAUUUUUAUUUGGAGAGUGAUAUUUAGUCAAUUAUUUUUUAAGAUGAUUAAUAGAUAAAUUUCUCACGUCCAUCAGUUUAUUUUAGAAUUUUUGGGGUUCCAGAUCUUGCGCUAGCUACAGAUUACUACAGAUUGUUCUGUUUUUGACAGAUUCUGUUUUUCGUGUGUUGUUUGCUUAUUUUGAUGAAUCUAUGGAUAGUAAAAUAGUUUAUAAUACAUAGAGAAGUUGGAAUAAAGUAGGUUUAGCACCAAUAUAAAUAAAGAAUGAGUUCAUUAUAGUACCUUGAAGUGGUCUUUUGUUUUCUUUCGCUAACGGAACUCACGAGUUUUCUAUUUUGAGUUUUGUGUUGUGAAGUUUUCAAGUUUUGGAUGAAUUCUUUUGAUGGAUCAGGGAACAAGGAGUGGCAAGAGCCUAAGCUUGGGGAUGCCCUUGGCACCCCCAAGAUAAUCCAAGUACACCAAAAAGUCAAAGCUUGGGGAUGCCCCGGAAGGUAUCCCCUCUUUCGUCCACUUCCAUCGGUAAUUUACUUGGAGCUAUAUUUUUAUUCACCAACAUGAUAUGUGUUUUGCUUGGAGCGUCUUGUAUUAUUUGUGUCUUUGUGUCUUAGUAUGCCACAAUCAUCCUUGCUGUACACACCUUUUGAGAGAGCCAUACAUGAAUUAAAAUUUGAUAGAAUACUCUAUGUGCUUCACUUAUAUCUUUUGAGCUAAGUAGUUUUGCUCUAUGUGCUUCACUUAUAUCUUUUGAGUGUUAUAAUUUUGCUCUAUGUGCUUCACUUAGAUCUUUUAGAGCACGGUGGUGGAUUUGUUUUAAAGAAACUAUUGAUCUCUCAUGCUUCACUCAAAUUAUUUUGAGAGUCUCUUAAUAGCAUGGUAAUUUGCUUAAUAAUAAUAUGCUUGGUGUUCAAGAUUUGUGAAACUUUCUUUUGAGUGUGUUGAAUACUAAGAAAAGAUUGAAGCAUGAUAAUUGUUUUGAGAUAUGGAGGUGAUAAUAUUAAAGUCAUGCUAGUUGAGUAGUUGUGAAUUUAAAUAAUACUUGUGUUAAAGUUUGUGAUUCCCGUAGCAUGCACGUAUGGUGAACCGUUAUGUGAUGAAGUCGGAGCAUGAUUUAUUUAUUGAUUGUCUUCCUUAUGAGUGGCGGUCGGGGACGAGCGAUGGUCUUUUCCUACCAAUCUAUCCUCCUAGGAGCAUGCGCGUAAUACUUUGCUUUGAUAACUUCUAGAUUUUUGCAAUAAGUAUAUGAGUUCUUUAUGACUAAUGUUGAGUCCAUGGAUCAUACGCACUCUCAACCUUCCACCUUUGCUAGCCUCUCUAAUACCACGCACCUUUCGCCGGUAUCAUACACCUAUCAUAUACCUUCCUCAAAACAGCCACCAUACCUACCUAUUAUGGCAUUUCCAUAGUCAUUCCGAGAUAUAUUGCCAUGCAACUUUCGACCAUCUAGUUCAUCAUGACACACUCCAUCAUUGUCAUAUUGCAUAUCCCGGUACACCGCCAGAUGCAUUCACAUAGAGUCAUAUUUUGUUCUAAGUAUCGAGUUGUAAUUGUUGAGUUGUAAGAAAAAUAAAAGUGUGAUGAUCAUCAUUAUUAGAGCAUUGUCCCAAGGGAGGAAAGAAUGAUGGAGACUAUGAUUCCCCCAUAAGUCGGGAUGAGACUCCGGACGAAAAAUAAAAAAAGAGGCCUAAGAAGCCCAAAUAAAAAGAGGCCAUAAAAAAAGAAAUUGCCCAAAUAAAAAAAUGAGAGAAAAAGAGAGAAGGGACGAUGUUACUAUCCUUUUACCACACUUGUGCUUCAAAGUAGCACCAUGACUUUCAUAGUAGAGAGUCUCUCAUGUUAUCACUUUCAUAUACUAGUGGGAAUUUUACAUUAUAGAACUUGGCUUGUAUAUUCCAAUGAUGGGCUUCCUCAAAUUGCCCUAGGUCUUCAUGAUCAAGCAAGUUGGAUGCACACCCACUUAGUUUCUUUUUGAGCUUUCAUAUACUUAUAGCUCUAGUGCAUCCGUUGCAUGGCAAUCCCUACUCACUCACAUUGAUAUCUAUUGAUGGGCAUCUCCAUAGCCCGUUGAUACGCCUAGUUGAUGUGAGACUAUCUUCUCCUUUUUUUUCUUCUCCACAACCACCAUUCUAUUCCACCUAUAGUGCUAUAUCCAUGGCUCACGCUCAUGUAUUGUGUGAAGAUUGAAAAAGUUUUGAAAAAGUUAGAGUAUGAAACAAUUGCUUGGCUUGUCAUCGGGGGUGUGCAUGAUUUAAAUACUUUGUGUGGUGAAGAUAGAGCAUAGCCAGACUAUAUGAUUUUGUAGGGAUAACUUUCUUUGGCCAUGUUAUUUUGAGAAGACAUAAUUGCUUUAUUAAUAUGCUUGAAGUAUUAUUAUUUUUAUGUCAAUAUAAACUUUUGUCUUGAAUCUUUCUAAUCUGAAUAUUCAUACCACAAUUAAGAAGAUUUGCAUUGAAAUUAUGCCAAGUAGCACUCCGCAUCAAAAGUUCUCUUUUUAUCAUUUAACUACUCGAGGACGAGCAGGAAUUAAGCUUGGGGAUGCCUGAUACGUCUCCAACGUAUCUAUAAUUUUUGAUUGCUCCAUGCUAUAUUAUCUUCUGUUUUGGACUAUAUUGGGCUUUACUUUCCACUUUUAUAUUAUUUUUGGGACUAACCUAUUAACCGGAGGCCCAGUCCAGAAUUGCUGUUUUUUGCCUAUUUCAGUGUUUUGAAGAAACGGAAUAUCAAACGGAGUCCAAACGGAAUAAAAUCUUCGGGAACGUGAUUUUCUCACCGAACGUGAUCCAGGAGACUUGGACCCUGCUCCAAGGAACAAAAGAGGCGGUCCCGAGGGUGGGGGCGCCCCCCCCCCUAGGGCGCGCCCCCUGCCUCAUGGGCCCCUCGGUGCUCCUCCGGCGUACUUCUUCCUCCUAUAUAUACACACGUACCCCCAAACGAUCAAAACAGGAGCCAAAAACCUAAUUCCACCACCGCAACUUUCUGUAUCCAUGAGAUCCCAUCUUGGGGCCUGUUCCGGAGCUCCGCCGGAAGAGGGCCGUCGUCACGGAGGGCUUCUACAUCAUCCUAGCCUCUCCGAUGAAGUGUGAGUAGUUUACCUCAGACCUUCGGGUCCAUAGUUAGUAGCUAGAUGGCUUCUUCUCUCUCUUUGAAUCUCAAUACAAAGUUCUCCCCUCUCUUGUGGAGAUCUAUUCGAUGUAAUCUUCUUUUUGCGGUGUGUUUGUUGAGACCGAUGAAUUGUGGGUUUAUGAUCAAGUCUAUCUAUGAAUAAUAUUUGAAUCUUCUCUGAAUUCUUUUAUGUAUGGUUGGUAUCUUUGCAAGUCUCUUCGAAUUAUCCGUUUGGUUUGGCCAACUAGAUUGGUAGUUCUUGCCAUGGGAGAAGUGCUUAGCUUUGGGUUCGAUCUUGCGGUGUCCUUACCCAGUGACAGAAAGGGCAGCAAGGCACGUAUUGUAUCGUUGCCAUCGAGGAUAACAAGAUGGGGUUUAUUUCAUAUUGCAUGAAUUUAUCUCUCUACAUCAUGUCAUCUUGCUUAAGGCGUUACUCUGUUUUUAACUUAAUACUCUAGAUGCAUGCUGGAUAGCGGUCGAUGAGUGGAGUAAUAGUAGUAGAUGCAGAAUCGUUUCGAUCUACUUGUCACGGACGUGAUGCCUAUAUACAUGAUCAUGCCUAGAUAUUCUCUCAUAACUAUGCUCAAUUCUGUCAAUUGCUCAACAGUAAUUUGUUCACCUACCGUAGAAUACUUAUGCUCUUGAGAGAAACCACUAGUGAAACCUAUGGCCCCCGGGUCUAUUCUCAUCAUAUCAAUCUCCAUCACUUUAAUCUUGCUUUGCUUUUACUUUUUACUUUGCAUCUUUAUACCAAAAAUACCCAAAAUAUUAUAUCUAUCAGAUCUCACUCUCGUAAGUGACCGUGAAGGGAUUGACAACCCCUAAUCGCGUUGGUUGCGAGUAGCUAUCGCUUUGUGCAGGUACGAGAGACUUGAGCGUGGCCUCCUACUGGAUUGAUACCUUGGUUCUCAAAAACUGAGGGAAAUACUUACGCUACUCUGCUGCAUCAUCCUUUCCUCUUCGGGGAAAACCAACACAAGCUCAAGACGUAGCAAUAGGUUUGAUUAUUUUGUUUGGCACUUCUUGCCUGCUGUUAAUACUACUGGGGGAUCCUAUUGGGUUUUAGAAGAUUAUCUUUGAGGUUAUUGGUUUUUGUUAACCAAGGAUUUUCCAUUGUGGCUACUGUUAACCAGAAGUGCAGUCUGAUGGUUUUGUUUGGCAAAUGGUGUUGGUAUAUGGUUCUGCAUACCUUGAAUUUAAAAUGGAGUUUAUUGCUGAACUACAUGAUACUAUGACUAGUGCAUCUUAUCCUAUCUUGAUCUGUGGGGACUUUAACUUGAUUAGGAAUGAAGCUGAGAAGAGUAGUGGUCAGAUUAAUCAUCAGACUGCACUUCUCUUCAAUGACUGGAUCAACAGAUGGGCCCUGAUGGAGAUUUCUAUCUCUAACAGAGUAUUUACCUGGUCUAACAACCAGAGUUCCCCUAUCUUUGUUGUUCUUGACAGAGUGUUCACUUCUAUGGACUGGGAUGCCCACUUCCAUUUCUAUCUCUAACAGAGUAUUUACCUGGUCUAACAACCAGAGUUCCCCUAUCUUUGUUGUUCUUAACAGAGUGUUCACUUCUGUGGACUCAGAUGCCCAUUUCCCUUUUUCAACUUUGUUAGCACUCCCCAGGGUGGGGAGUGACCACACUCCUUUGGUCCUGGAUGAAGGAAAUAUGCCCUAGAGGCAAUAAUAAAGUUGUCAUUUAUAUUUCCUUAUAUCAUGAUAAAUGUUUAUUAUUCAUGCUAGAAUUGUAUUAACCGGAAACUUAGUACAUGUGUGAAUACAUAGACAAACAAUGUGCAAAUGGUGUUGGUAUAUGGUUCUGCAUACCUUGAAUUUAAAAUGGAGUUCAUUGCUGAACUACAUGAUACUAUGACUAGUGCAUCUUAUCCUAUCUUGAUCUGUGGGGACUUUAACUUGAUUAGGAAUGAAGCUGAGAAGAGUAGUGGUCAGAUUAAUCAUCAGACUGCACUUCUCUUCAAUGACUGGAUCAACAGAUGGGCCCUGAUGGAGAUUUCUAUCUCUAACAGAGUAUUUACCCGGUCUAACAACCAGAGUUCCCCUAUCUUUGUUGUUCUUGACAGAGUGUUCACUUCUGUGGACUGGGAUGCCCACUUCCAUUUCUAUCUCUAACAGAGUAUUUACCUGGUCUAACAACCAGAGUUCCCCUAUAUUUGUUGUUCUUGACAGAGUGUUCACUUCUGUGGACUGGGAUGCCCAUUUCCCUUUUUCAACUUUGUCAGCACUCCCCAGGGUGGGGACUGACCACACUCCUUUGGUCCUGGAUGAAGGAAAUAUGCCCUAGAGGCAAUAAUAAAGUUGUUAUUUAUAUUUCCUUAUAUCAUGAUAAAUGUUUAUUAUUCAUGCUAGAAUUGUAUUAACCGGAAACUUAGUACAUGUGUGAAUACAUAGACAAACAAAGUGUCACUAGUAUGCCUCUACUUGACUAGCUCGUUGAAUCAAAGAUGGUUAAGUUUCCUAACCAUGGACAUGAGUUGUCAUUUGAUUAAUGGGGUCACAUCAUUAGAGAAUGAUGUGAUUGACUUGACCCAUUCCGUUAGCUUAGCAUUUGAUCGUUUAGUAUAUUGGUAUUGCUUUCUUCAUGACUUAUACAUGUUCCUAUGACUAUGAGAUUAUGCAAUUCCCAAAUAUCGGAGGAACACUUUGUAUGCUACCAAACGUCACAACGUAACUGGGUGAUUAUAAAGGUGCUCUACAGGUGUCUCCAAUGGUACUUGUUGAGUUGGCAUAGAUCGAGAUUAGGAUUUGUCACUCCGAUUGUCGGAGAGGUAUCUCUGGCCCCUCUCGGUAAUGCACAACACUAUAAGCCUUGCAAGCAUUGCAACUAAUGAGUUAGUUGCAGGAUGAUGUAUUACGGAACGAGUAAAGAGACUUGCCGGCAAUGAGAUUGAACUAGGUAUUGAGAUACCGACGAUCGAAUCUCGGGCAAGUAACAUACCGAUGACAAAGGGAACAACGUAUUUUGUUAUGCGGUUUUGACCGAUAAAGAUCUUCGUAGAAUAUGCAGGAACCAAUAUGAGCAUCCAGGUUCCGCUAUUUGUUAUUGACCGGAGAUGAGUCUCGGUCAUGUCUACAUAGUUCUCAAACCCAUAGGGUCCGCACGCUUAACGUUCGGUGACGAUCGAUAUUAUGAGUUUAUGUGUUUUGAUGUACCGAAGGUAGUUCGGAGUCCCAAAUGUGAUCACGGACAUGACGAUGAGUCUCGAAAUGGUCGAGACAUAAAUAUUGAUAUAUUGGAUGGCUAUACUCGGACACCAGAAGGGUUUCAGGUGAUCUCGGAGAAAACUGGAGUGCUGGAGGGGUUACCGGAACCCCCCGGGGACUAAUGGGCCUUGAUGGGCCCUAGUGGAGAGAGAGGGGCAGGCCGCGCACCCCCUCCCCUUGAGUCCGAAUAGGACAAGGAAGGGGGGCCUUGCCUUUCCCCUCUCCCACUCCUUCCUUCCCCCUCCUAGUGGGACUAGGAAAGGGGAGUCCUACUCCCACUAGGAGAAGGAGUCCUCCUCUUGGCGCGCCCUCCUAGGGCCGGCCGGCCUCCCCCCUUGCCCCUUUAUAUACGGGGGCAGGGGCACCCCAUGGACACAUAAGUUGAUCAUUGAUCUUUUAGCCGUGUGCGGUGCCCCCUCCACCAUAAUCCACCUCGGCCAUAUCGUAGCGGUGCUUAGGUGAAGCCCUGCGUCGGUAGCUUCAUCAACACCGUCAUCACGCCGUUGUGCUGAUGGAACUCUCCCUCGAAGCUCUACUGGAUCAUGAGUUCGUGGGACGUCACCGAGCUGAACGUGUGCAGAUUGCAGAGGUGUCGUACGUUCGGUACUAGGAUCGGUCGAUCAUGAAGACGUACGGCUACAUCAACCGCGUUGUCACAACGCUUAUGCUUACGGUCUACGAGGGUACGUGGACGACACUCUCCCCUCUCGUUGGUAUGCAUCACCAUGAUCUUGCGUGUGCGUAGGAAUUUUUUUUGAAAUUACUAUGUUCCCCAACACUGGACACUGGAGCUGGAGCCCCAUCUAACCCUAAACCAUUUAGGUUUGAAAAAUGGUGGCUAUCCCAACCUGGGUUCCACCAAAUGGUUACAGAAGCUUGGGAUUAUGUGUCCUCUUCUAACUCUUCAGUUGAUAACUGGAUGACUAAAACUAGGGUUCUUAGGAAGAAACCAAAAGGUUGAAGUAUUAACAGAGAAGCAGCUUUGAAAAAGAAAAAAGGCACUCCUUGUGGAGUUUGAUAACCUUGAUGUCCUAUCUGAAUCUUAACAGCUCUCUGCUACUAAUUUUGAUAGGAUGAAGAAUAUUAAAAAGGAACUUGAUGAGAUUUGGAAAAAAAGAGGAAACUGCCUUACGACAGAGAUCUAGGGAUAGGAAAAUUUUGGAGGGAGAUAGGAAUAAUGCUUACUUCCAGGCCCUUGCCAAUCAUAGACAUAGAAAGAAUCAUCUUACUGAGUUAAAUGGCCCCGAUGGGGUGGUUACUUCUACCAAGGAUAUGCUUGAGGUAGCUACUUCCUUCUAUAAGGAACUAUUUGCUUUUGAACCUAAACCUGACAUCCACUUGGGUGCUGAUUUUUGGUCCAUUGAGUAGAUGGUUAGUGAUGAGGAGAGAUAACUUCUAGAGAUACCUUUUUCUGAAGAGGAAAUUAAGCAAGCUAUUAUGAGUUCUUAUUCUAGUGGUGCUCCGGGCCCUGAUGGCCUCCCCUUUUUGUUUUACCAAACCUUCUGGGAGUUGAUCAAAAAGGAUUUUAUGUGGAUGGUUAAAGAUUGUGAGAAUGGUGAUUUAGACAUGUAUAAAUUGAAUUAUGCCAUUAUUACCCUCAUACCUAAAGUGCCUCUGGCUAGAGACAUGAAUUUUUUUAGACCUAUCGGUUUGAGUAAUUGUGUUGUCAAGAUUUUCUCUAAAGCUAUGACCAGUAGGGUGUCUCCUUUGUGUGACAAGCUUAUUUCUAAUAAUCAGACUACCUUUAUUAAAGGGGGGGUUCAUUUUAGAAAGUGUGGUUAUGGCCCAUGAGGUUAUUCAUGAUAUACACAUGUCUGGCUCUAGUGGAUUGAUUCUUAAACUUGAUUAUGAGAAAGCCUAUGAUAGAGUGAGUUGGGAUUUCUUGAAGGAAAUGCUUCUUUCUAGAGGUUUUGACAGUAAAUGGGUUGGUUGGGUUAUGUCCACUAUCCACCAGGGGACUUUCCAGGUUAGAAUUAAUGACAUAAAUGGCCCCCACUUUGCUGGGGGGGAGGCUUGAAGCAAGGUGAUCCUCACUCACCUCUGUUGUUUAAUUUGGUGGCUGGUGUCUUUUCUAAGAUGCUCCAGAAAGCUGUCAAUAGAAACUUGAUUUGUGGACUGUUGCCCCAUGCCAUUCCUCGAGGGUUGGUCAGCCUACAAUAUGUUGAUGACACUAUUCUUUUCCUAGAUAAUUCGCUAGCUUGUGCUAAAAAUUUGAAAUGGAUUCUAGCUUGCUUUGAAAAACUUUCUGGUUUGAAGAUUAAUUUUCACAAGAGUGAUUUGCAUACUAUUAAUGUUUCUGAUCAAAAAGACUUUGCUCAAGUUUUCUGUUGUCAACUUGGGGAUUUUCCCUUUAAAUAUUUAGGGGUGCCUUUGCAUUUUAAAAAACUUAGAAGGAAAGAUCUUCAAUGCAUUAUAGACAGGAGUAUUAAGAAUAUAGCUCGUUGGCUAGGGAGAUUUCUCUCCUACAGGGGCAAAUUGAUCCUUCUCACUACUUUUAUUGCCAGUAUUCCUGCCUACUUAAUGUCUAUUGUUAAAUUUCCCAAAUGGGCUAUUGAUAUGAUUACAUCUCAAAUGUCUCACUUCUUUUGGGGUAAUGUGGGUGAAAACCACAAAUACCAUCUUGCUAGCUGGGGGAUGAUUUCCAGGAAGAAAGAAUUUGGUGGUAUGGGGUUCCCAACCUUAGAGAGUUCAAUAUGGCCCUUUUGGCUUCUUGGGGGAAAAGAUUUUAUGAUGGUAGAGAUGGUGAUUGGAAAAAGAUUAUGGCCUACAAAUAUAAUACUAACAAUCCCAACUUCUUCAACACUAGGACUAAUUUGGGGUCCCCAUUCAUGAAAAGUCUAUCCUGGGCACUUGCAGCAUCUAAAAACUUUUAUAGGUGGAUCCCUAGAGAUGGGAAGAGUAUUGCCUUCUGGCAUGACAUUUGGAUUGGGGACUGCUCCCUAAAAACUGCAUUUUGGGACUUGUUUGACAUUUGUCAACAGCAAGAGGCCACUCUUGCGCAGGUCUAGGUGGGAGGUGAACUCCAGCUCACUUUUAGGAGAUGUGUGGGUGAAGGGGCUCUGGUUAGAUGGGAUGAGCUAACUAAUUUAGUUAAACAGGUUAUGAUGUCUGACUCCCCAGACCAACCUGUGUGGAUGCUGGAUUCUUCCAGCAAGUAUUCUGUCAAGUCUUUUUACAAAAUGAUCAACUUUGAAGGAUACAUGCUGAGAUUAAAGAUGAUAUAUGGAAAAUUAAGAUCCCUCCCAAUAUACAUGUUUUCCCGUGGUUGAUUUACUACAACAAAUCUGUAGGUUUCAGGGGGGUACGAUCCACCGCGUUCCUGUGCUUUACAUGAAAUGGAAAGAUCAGAACGAACAAGCAGAGCAACUUGAUAGCUUGACCAGGGAUAAUCUGGCAAGCGUAGACAUGUAGAGAAUAAGACAUGUGUCUUUUGUAAUGAACCAGAAACAAUUCAGCAUCUCUUUUUUGAUUGUAUUGUUGCUAGACAAGUGUGGGAGCUGAUGGCUGAAAGUUUUAGCAUUAAUAUACCUGAUUCUUUUGCUAUGUUAUCUUCCUUUUGGAAGAAAAGGAAACAUUGUGAAGCUCUAAACAUAACUACUGCUAUUGCCUUGUGGAGCUUAUGGCGUUUACGAAAUAACUUUGUUUUCCAGAGGCGAAGAUGGCGAAGUAUAUGAUGUGCUUUGGAUCUGUUGGACGCAACAAUUAGGCAAUAUAAAAUCCUAUGUUCAGAGGCUUAGGGUGCGUAUAGGGGAAUUGCUUAGGAUGCUAAACUCUAGAGCAUGGCUGGCUUUGUAUCUCCCCUAGAUCCUCUUAAAAACUCUGUUGUAAUAGGGUAGUUUCUUAAAAUACUUGUGGUCCCCGUCUGUGGCAGUAGUGCCGUCGAGCGUUGUUAAACAGUCUUUGCUUUGGUUUUGCCUGGCUUUAAUAAAAGUUGAGGCGGGGGAAAGCUCUUUCAGUUCAAAAAAUAAACACUAUAAUUUGAGUACAACCCGAUUAUACUCAAAUUCAGUUAUUUCCUGCUCCUUGUAGCCCACCAUACAAAUGGAACAGGUCAAUUUAUUUUCUUCAAAACCGUUGGCUAUUUAUUGCAUGCGGCACAAAUAACAAUUCUAUUCCUAAAUAUAAGUGUAUCACUAUUUCAACUACAUUCAUCAUGAAAUAUACUUUGAUAUUUUAUAUAUUUUGUAUUUUAAAUCUCUAUAUAUUUUGCUAUGAAGUUGGUCACGCACAGACACCUUAUAUUUAGGAAGUUUUGGGGGACAAGUAAUUCCAGGGAGAACAAGACAAGUAUAACAAACAGGCAACCGAAAGAAAAACACAAUCACAGAAGGGACUAAUGGCAUUGAUUUCGUGGUGUAUUUCAAAACAAAAGGCGACCAAAGGAAAAACACAAUCAUCAGAAACAAUGACAAAGCUAAUAUGCGGUGUAAAUUAAAACAGAGGUAUCGGCAGUCGGCCAAGUGUGGUACUGACAACUAUGACAGAGCACAAGAAUGCAAUAGUAACAUGCAUUACCCUAUUGCAAAGUGAAAUGAGCAUUCCCGGUAAUAGAUAAGACAUAUAAUGACAGAACAGAACGACACAUUCAACAUCUCCAAAUUUGUCUGAACAGGAAUUGGUUUCAUAGAAGACAAGCAUCAGGCAAGUCCUUGCCGCUACAUCAAAAUGUUCUUUCAUCACAAACUUAAAGCAUAGCUAAAACAGUUCUAGAUAUCUUGUAAAACACAUUCAUUCCAAAAUCUCCAGCCAAAAGCACGAGACCCUCAGAUGCACAUCCAUCUUAACGGUUA